ensembl:lncRNA
GUGCACAAAGCAUCCAACAGACCUGGUGAAUAAUGAUGCGUGUGCGUGGGCCAUCUUCUCCAGGUCUUGUCUGCUUUUUAAAAAGAAGACAAGACCAGAAGCUCAAUUCGGAGAUGAAUUGAGUCGAGCAUCGAGUGUCUCUUCAAGGACCUUCGUCAAAUCUCAGAGGACUGUGCAGACCAAAAGAUCUCAGAGUUUAUUGCAAAGUCUUCAAGGCAGCAGGCUUCUCGUGUUCCGGUGCUGCUCUCGCUGCUCCGCGGUACAAACGCUCACACCCGCUCCUGGACAACCGAAGAGUCGCCUGUGGACCGGUGGAGGGCUGGAGGACGGUUCCGCAGCACCGGGACUAAACAAACCUCCGCCCCGCUCACAGUGGACCGGACUGACGACUGCUGGGACAAGAGGUAUUUGACUAGACCCAGUCAAGGAUUCUGGGCAUGCAACCUACACAAACAAAAGAAAGCAACCGCAUCUGCUCGACAUGGAUGAUAUGACGUGAAGAAAUGUAAUCUAUGAUAUGCUGAUUAUCUGAAAAGUGGGGAUAACUUAUUUUUUUUAUCAUUUUAUCUUGAAGACGUCAACUUGGAUCCGCUCUUUGAAGCUUGGCUUUCUUUCUUAUUGUGGUUUAGUAACAGUGCAAAUAGAUAAAUGAAUCACUUAAAGCACAUUUGUUAAUGAUUAAUAUCUGAUAAAAAAAAAAAAAAAAAAAAAAAAAAAAGUCCACUAGGUUUACAAGAAACAGUCGAUCAGUCACAAUCCAUACAGUUAUCUCCAGAAAAGUUGACGGCUGUGUGGCAAAUUUGAUUGGCUAACUGGCCAAAAAAAACAAAAAAACCAACAAGAGCUCUGCUGGACGACAGUUUAUGCAUCAGAAACUGUUCAGUAAUCUACAUUUUUUGUAGACUGUUUUGAGAGAUAUUGCAGUCUGUUAAAAUAAUAAACCUGGGAAAUAUUGGAAAGUCUGGCACUUGACUGUUUUUGUGCGCAUCCGGCAUGCUCUAUCUUCUCAG